CGAUGAACUCAACCAAGUACAUAUUCCUCUGCGGAACCCUUGGCAGGGCAGUGGAUGAGAGGAGAUGCUUUUGGCUCAUUCACAGAAAUGCCACACCCGAAAACUGGCACCAUGCCCUUCAUCCUAGAAGUCUGAAAGUCACAGAGAGCCCAGGGAAGCAAAGACCCCAGAGCAGGCGCGGCUCACCUCACUGUGUCUGCGGCUCCACACAUCUGAACGUCAGUGCCCAGGAUGGAGAGACAGGCCAGGCACGAAGCAGACCCUGGGGUGAGUCAAAGGACUAGCCAGGGGAAAUUGGGCUUUGCAAUGUAUU
rnacentral:lncRNA from 1 species